rnacentral:rRNA from 1 species
ACUGCUCAGUAACACGUGGACAACCUGCCCUUAGGUUGGGUAUAAACCCGGGAAACUGGGUAUAAUACCCGAUAGGUCUCGAUUGCUGGAAUGCAUCGAGAUUUAAAGCUCCGGCGCCUAAGGAUGGGUCUGCGGCCUAUCAGGUAGUAGUGGGUGUAGCGUACCUACUAGCCUACGACGGGUACGGGUUGUGAGAGCAAGAGCCCGGAGAUGGAUUCUGAGACACGAAUCCAGGCCCUACGGGGUGCAGCAGGCGCGAAAACUUUACAAUGCUGGCAACAGCGAUAAGGGAACCUCGAGUGCCAGGUUACAAAUCUGGCUGUCGAGAUGCCUAAAAAGCAUUUCAUAGCAAGGGCCGGGCAAGACCGGUGCCAGCCGCCGUGGUAACACCGGCGGCUCGAGUGGUAACCGUUAUUAUUGGGUCUAAAGGGUCUGUAGCCGGCCGGAUAAGUCUCUUGAGAAAUCUGGCAGCUUAACUGUCAGGCUUCAGGAGAUACUGUCUGGCUCGAGGCCGGGAGAGGUGAGAGGUACUUCAGGGGUAGGGGUGAAAUCUUGUAAUCCUUGAAGGACCACCAGUGGCGAAGGCGUCUCACCAGAACGGACCUGACGGCAAGGGACGAAAGCUAGGGGCACGAACCGGAUUAGAUACCCGGGUAGUCCUAGCCGUAAACGAUACUCGCUAGGUGUCGGCCACGGUGCGACCGUUGUCGGUGCCGUAGGGAAGCCGUGAAGCGAGCCACCUGGGAAGUACGGCCGCAAGGCUGAAACUUAAAGGAAUUGGCGGGGGAGCAC